AAAAAAGAAUUCUAUUUUUCAGUUGUCGCAUACGAAGAGCAAUUGAAAGUGAAAAGUGAUUCGAAAAAAAUGAAAUAAGAAAGAAGAAAAUAUUAUGAAUGAUGAAUUUGAUCGAACUUAUAAGAAAAUUUGCGAUGCAAUGGAAACUUAUACACGUAUCAACGUGUGCAAUGUCCUAUUGAAAAAGUUGUCGAUAAUGAAUUACAUCAUCAAUCUGAUAAUCGCAUUUUCUUUAGCUACUUAUAUGAUAUUAAAACACUUUCGUCGAAACACUUCACAAUACGCACUGACGAAGACUACUGAUGACGUUAUUCAAAAACACGCAUGCGCAGCUAUAAAAAACGCGGGAAAAAAUUGUGAAAUAGUGAAACAAUAUGAAAAACCAUCCAAUUUGUAUAGAAACACUUUCAUCAAAACACUUCAUAAUACCCAGUUACUAAUGGCGUUACUGAUAAACACGCAUGCGCAGCUAUAAAAAACGCGGGAGAAAAUUGUGAAAUAGUGAAACAAUAUGAAAAACCAUCCAAUUUGCUUAGAAACACUUUCAUCGAAACACUUCAUAAUACGCAGUUACUAAUGGCGUUACUGAUAAACACGCAUGCGCAGCUAUAAAAAACGCGGGAGAAACUGUGAAACAGUGAAACAAUGUGAAAAACCAUCCAAUUUGUUUAUAUCUCAAAAUUGAUUCUACUAACAUUAUGGCACUUCAGAUUCGAGGAAACAAAUCCUUUUUAUUUCUUCAAAACACUUCCAAAUACGCACUAAUAAAGACUACCGAUGGCGUUGCUCAUAAAUGCGCAUGCGCAACUAUAAAAAACGCGGGAGAAAACUGUGAAACAGUGAAAUAAUGUGAAAAACCGUUCAAUUUGCUUAUGUCUCAAAAUUGAUUCCAUUGUCAUUAUGGCACCUCAGACAUAUUCGAGGAAAGUAAUUAAGAAUCCUUUUUAUUUCCUCGAAACACUUCACAAUAUGCACUAACGAAGACUCCCAAUAACAUUACUCAUAAACACGCAUGCACAGCUAUAAAAAACGCGGGAAAAAAUUGUGAAACAGUGAAACAAUGUGAAAAACCGUCCAAUUUGCUUAUAUUUCAAAAUUGAUUCUAUUGUCCUUAUGACACCUCGGAUUUAUUCGAGGAAACUAAUUAAAAAUGCUUUUUAUUUCUUCGAAACACUUCAGAAUAUGCACUAACGAAGACUACCAAUAGCAUAAACACGGAUAUACAGCUAUAAAAAACGCGGGAAAAACUGCGAAACAGUGAAAGAAUGCAAAAAACCGUCUAAUUUGCUUAGAUAUCAAAAUUGAUUCCAUUGUCAUUAUGACACUUCAGACAUAUUCGAGGAAAGUAAUUAAAAAUCCUUUUUAUUUCCUCGAAACACUUCACAAUAUGCACUGUCGAAAAUUAUCGAUGAAAUUAUUCAUAAACGCACAUGUCCAGCUAUAAAAAACGCGGCAGAAAACUGUGAAACAGUGAAACAAUGUGAAAAACCGUCUAAUUUGCUUGUGUCUUAAUAUCGGUUCCAUUGUCAUUAUGGCAUUUCAGACAUAUUCGAGGAAACUAAGAAUCCUUUUUAUUUCUUUGAAACACUUCACAAUAUGCACUUUUGAAAAUUAUCGAUGAAAUUACUCAUAAACACACAUGCCCAGCUAUAAAAAAGGCGAGAAAAAACUGUGAAACAGUGAAACAAUGUGAAAAACCGUCCAAUUUCCUUCUAUCUCAAAAUUGAUUCCACUGUCAUUAUGGCACUUCAGACAUAUUCGAAGAAACUAAUUAAGAAAUCUUUUCUUUCUUGAAAAUAUUUCACAAUACGCACUAACGAAAACUACCGAUUACUCAUAAACAUGCAUGCAUAGCUAUAAAAAAUGUGGGAGAAAACUGUGAAACAGUGAAACAAUGAGAAAAACCGUGCCAUAUUGUUUACAUCUCGAAAUUGAUUCCAUUGUCAUUAUGGCACUUCUGACAUAUUCGAGGAAACUAAUUAAGAAUCCUUUUUAUUUCUUCGAAAUAUUUUACAAUACAUUGACGAAAACUACCGAUGGCGUUACUCAUAAAUGCGCAUGCGCAGCUAUAAAAAACGCGGGAGAAAACUGUGAAAUAGUGAAAUAAUGUGAAAAACCGUUCAAUUUGCUUAUGUCUCAAAAUUGAUUCCAUUGUCAUUAUGGUACUUCAGACAUAUUCGAGGAAAUUAAUUAAGAAUCCUUUUUAUUUUUUCGAAACACUUUCAUGAAAACACUUCAUAAUACGCAGUUACUAAUGGCGUUACUCAUAAAUGCGCAUGCGCAGCUAUAGAAAACGCGGGAAAAAACUGUGAAACAGUGAAACAAUGUGAAAAACCGUCCAUUUGUUUAUAUUUCAAAAUUGAUUCUAUUGUCAUUAUGACACCUCGGAUUUAUUCGAGGAAACUAAUUAAAAAUGCUUUUUAUUUCUUCGAAACACUUCAGAAUACGCACUAACGAAGACUACUGAUAGCAUAAACACAGAUAUACAGCUAUAAAAAACGCGGGAAAAAACUGCGAAACAGUGAAACAAUGUAAAAAACCGUCUAAUUUGCUUAGGUAUCAAAAUUGAUUCCAUUGUCAUUAUGGCACUUCAGACAUAUUCGAGGAAACUAAUUAAAAAUCCUUUUUAUUUCUUCGAAACACUUCACAAUAUGCACUAACGAAGACUACCAAUAGCAUAAACACGGAUAUACAACUAUAAAAAACGCGGGAAAAAACUGUGAAACAGUGAAACAAUGUGAAAAACCGUUCAAUUUGCUUAUAUUUCAAAAUUGAUUCUAUUGUCCUUAUGACACCUCGGAUUUAUUCGAGGAAACUAAUUAAAAAUGCUUUUUAUUUCUUCGAAAUACUUCAGAAUAUGCACUAACGAAGACUACCAAUAGCAUAAACACGGAUAUACAGCUAUAAAAAACGCGGGAAAAACUGCGAAACAGUGAAAGAAUGCAAAAAACCGUCUAAUUUGCUUAGAUAUCAAAAUUGAUUCCAUUGUCAUUAUGACACUUCAGACAUAUUCGAGGAAAGUAAUUAAAAAUCCUUUUUAUUUCCUCGAAACACUUCACAAUAUGCACUGUCGAAAAUUAUCGAUGAAAUUAUUCAUAAACGCACAUGUCCAGCUAUAAAAAACGCGGCAGAAAACUGUGAAACAGUGAAACAAUGUGAAAAACCGUCUAAUUUGCUUGUGUCUUAAUAUCGGUUCCAUUGUCAUUAUGGCAUUUCAGACAUAUUCGAGGAAACUAAUUAAGAAUCCUUUUUAUUUCUUCGAAUCACUUCACAAUAUGCACUGUCGAAAAUUAUCGAUGAAAUUACUCAUAAACACACAUGCCCAGCUAUAAAAAAGGCGGGAAAAAACUGUGAAACAGUGAAACAAUGUGAAAAACCGUCUAAUUUGCUUGUGUCUUAAUAUCGGUUCCAUUGUCAUUAUGGCAUUUCAGACAUAUUCGAGGAAACUAAUUAAGAAUCCUUUUUAUUUCUUCGAAUCACUUCACAAUAUGCACUGUCGAAAAUUAUCGAUGAAAUUACUCAUAAACACACAUGCCCAGCUAUAAAAAAGGCGGGAAAAAACUGUGAAACAGUGAAACAAUGUGAAAAACCGUCUAAUUUGCUUGUGUCUUAAUAUCGGUUCCAUUGUCAUUAUGGCAUUUCAGACAUAUUCGAGGAAACUAAUUAAGAAUCCUUUUUAUUUCUUCGAAUCACUUCACAAUAUGCACUGUCGAAAAUUAUCGAUGAAAUUACUCAUAAACACACAUGCCCAGCUAUAAAAAAGGCGGGAAAAAACUGUGAAACAGUGAAACAAUGUGAAAAACCGUCCAAUUUGCUUCUGUCUCAAAAUUGAUUCCACUGUCAUUAUGGCACUUCAGACAUAUUCGAAGAAACUAAUUAAGAAAUCUUUUCUUUCUUGAAAACAUUUCACAAUACGCACUAACGAAAACUACCGAUAGUAUUACUCAUAAACAUGCAUGCAUAGCUAUAAAAAAUGUGGGAGAAAACUGUGAAACAGUGAAACAGUGAAACAAUAUGAAAAACCGUGCAAUUUACUUAUGUCUUAAAAUUGAUUCCAUUGAUUGUCAUUAUGGCAUUUCAGAUAUAUUCGAGGAAACUAAUUAAGGAUCCUUUUUAUUUCGUCGAAAUAUUUUACAAUACAUUGACGAGGACUAUCGAUGGUAUUACUCAUAAAUGCGCAUGCGCAGCUAUAAAAAACGCGGGAGAAAACUGUGAAAUAGUGAAAUAAUGUGAAAAACCGUUCAAUUUGCUUAUGUCUCAAACUUGAUUCUAUUGUCAUUAUGGCACUUCAGACAUAUUCGAGGAAAUUAAUUAAGAAUCCUUUUUAUUUUUUCGAAACACUUUCAUGAAAACACUUCAUAAUACGCAGUUACUAAUGGCGUUACUCAUAAAUGCACAUGCGCAGCUAUAGAAAACGCGGGAGAAAUCUGUGAAACUGUGAAAUAAUAUGAAAAACCGUCCAAUUUGCUUAUGUCUCAAAAUUGAUUUCAUUAUUAUUAUGGUACUUCAGAUAUAUUGAAGAAAAUUAGAGAAUCCUUUUUAUUUUUUCGAAACACUUUCAUGAAAACACUUCAUAAUAUGCAGUUACUAAUGGCGUUACUCAUAAAUGCGCAUGCGCAGCUAUAGAAAACGCGGGAGAAAUCUGUGAAACAGUGAAAUAAUAUGAAAAACCGUCCAAUUUGCGUAUGUCUCAAAAUUGAUUCCAUUGUCAUUAUGGCACUUCAGACAUAUUGAAGAAAACUAAUUAAGAAUCCUUUUUAUUUUUUCGAAAUACUUUCAUGAAAACACUUCAUAAUACGCAGUUACUAAUGGCGUUACUCAUAAAUGCGCAUGCGCAACUGUAAAAAACGCGGGAGAAAACUGUGAAACAGUGAAACAAUGUGAAAAAUUGUGUGUAAUUUGUUUGUGUUUCAAAAUUGAUUCUAUUGUUAUUAUGGUACUUCAGACAUAUUCGAGGUAACUUUUUUCUUCUCUUUUUAUUCUUUCUAGAAAAAAUUGAAAUUAAUUUUCAUGAUAUUUUGCGAGUAUCAGAUGUUUAUAAAUUUUCAAACAACACGGAUUUCCUUGGGAAAGAAUUAAUAUCAAUCAGCAAUUUUUAUUAUUUGUUGGUUUAUGACCGUAAUAGAUCGAAUUUACGUAUUUAUUCUCUUCAUAACUCUUCAAGUUUUUAUCUUUCAGGUAUUUGUUUUAAUAAAUUUUUUGUAUUCAAUGUUGCGAACUGUCAUAUGUAUUUGUUUUAUCAAUACAAAUUUUUAAGAAUAUAAUCUGAAAGAACUACUUCUAUCAUGUCCAAAUUAAUUGGAAUUAUCUUGAAAAAAUAAUGAAGACACAAAAAUGGGAAAAUAUGGAUUAGAUUAAAAAUAAUUAUUUCAUCAGAAUUCAAGCAUUAGCCACAGACAAUGUAUAUCUACUACAGUAGACCUAAAGUUUUAAGUUCCUAGUCUGUUAAUUUUUCUGCAUUGUCUAUAAAUUUAAUGUAAUAGAUCAAGUAGCUAAAAUUUCAACUCGUCCUACUGUAAAAUAAGAAAGAGGAUUCAGAAGAGAAAUCUGAAGUAUUCCACUAGUUUGAUUGUUCAUAUCUUUGCCUCAAUAUUACUCUCAGCAAUUGUCAGUCCAUGUCCAUAACAUGACAGAUUGAACAGCACUGGUUUGUAGAAACUAUACGUACCCCGCUGGUGAGAAUAGAGUUGCAACUUGUUGCACGUUGAAACGAGAAUGAACGAGUGGGGACGACCAUGCGUAAAACAGACGGAAAGAAAAUUGGCGGCAUUAAAUUUCCAUAAUGGCAUGUACCUAUUACACAAAUAUAACGAUGCAAUUAACGAAGCAUCAUAGCUAAAAGAUGAAAAACGAGAUAUCAAUAAAAUGAAAUAGUAAAAUAAAUCUACUUUCAUGAUAUAUGUUUGUAAUUUAGCACUGGCAUUGGUAUUAAAUCUUUUAUUCGAAAAGGAAAUUCGAUUAAAUAUUUAUUAGAAAAAUGGAAAUGUACUAAAUAUAAUUCUUUAGAUAUACCAUAAGAUAUACAAAAUAAUCGAAUAUCCUUUUAACAUAAUAACAUCUAAGAUGUUGUCUGUCUGAUUUUUCACUUUCCAUCCAAAAAUGUAUACUUACUCAUAUUAAUAUUCUCUAAUUACAGUGGAAUUGUAGAAAAAUCGAAGAAACAUAAGAAAGAAAUUCUUAUUUUCUUUAGAAUUAAAAAUUAUUGUCUCAGAAUUGAAAUAUAUUACAGAUUUCAGCUAAAUGUUUAUAGUUUAAAAUUAUAAUAUUUUCCCAUAGUAUAGCCAUUUGUCACGCGAAAUAUCAACGUUAUUACUUUUUGAUUUCCAUAGUGAUCGGAAAUAUGGAAAAUAUUCGAGAAAAGGAAAAAUUGUGGGAAUAUUGAUGAGAGAAGAAAAAAAGGGAAGAGAAAUAGUAGAAUGUUCAUUUGUAUAGCUGUCGUUCAAACUUCUUCAAAGAAUAGAAGGCAGGUAAUCAAUAUUACAAUGUUAAUCGAAUUCUUAUGAUCUGUAUUUGUCUUUGUUACAAUUAUUAUUAAUUGUGUAACUGUUUCAUAGAUUGAAAUAUUAAAAUUUAAAUUUAUUCAGGAAAAAGAUUCCGUUUUAAUUUUAUGAUGAAAUUAAAAAUGAUUGGAACUCGUUAAGAAACAUAAUAAGAAAUCAUUCAUGAAUACUGUAAAAAUCAUAAAAAAGAUAACAAUUAGUUCCAUUAAUUAAUAAAACGCAUAUUGAUUCAUACGCAAUUUUCAUUUAUGAUAAAAUCAUUUUAUCUUAUCAUUAUAAACAAUGAAUAAUUAUAA